GCAUAAAUUGAAUAAGAGGUCCCGCCUGCCCUGUGACUACAUGUUUAACGGCCGCGGUAUUUUGACCGUGCAAAGGUAGCGCAAUCACUUGUCUUUUAAAUAAAGACCCGUAUGAAUGGCACCACGAGGGCUUAACUGUCUCCUUCCCUUAGUCAAUGAAAUUGAUUUUCUCGUGCAGAAGCGAGAAUAAACUUAUAAGACGAGAAGACCCUGUGGAGCUUUAGACAUAUAGCAGAUUCUACGUCAACUAAUCCCCUUUAAAAGAUUGUGAACAUAGUAAUUAUUUCCGCUAAAUGUUUUUGGUUGGGGCGACCGCGGAGCAAAAAGAAACCUCCGCGAGGACCGGGGCACUUCCCCUAAAACCAAGAGUCUCAGCUCUAAGUAGCAAAAAUUUUGACCUUGAAGAUCCGGCAACGCCGAUCAACGAACCGAGUUACCCCAGGGAUAACAGCGCAAUCCUCUUCAAGAGUCCCUAUCGACAAGAGGGUUUACGACCUCGAUGUUGGAUCAGGACAUCCUAAUGGUGUAGCCGCUAUUAAGGGUUCGUUUGUUCAACGAUUAAAGUCCU
rnacentral:rRNA from 1 species